GACGUAGGGGGCCAGCGUUGUUCGGAAUUACUGGGCGUAAAGGGUUCGUAGGCGGUGUGGCAAGUCGGGUGUGAAAUCCCCGGGCUCAACCCGGGAACUGCGUCCGAUACUGGAUGGCUUGAAUCCGGGAGAGGGAUGCGGAAUUCCAGGUGUAGCGGUGAAAUGCGCAGAUAUCGGGAGGAAUACCGGUGGCGAAGGCGGCAUCCUGGAACGACACUGACGCUGAGGAGCGAAAGCGAGGGGAGCAAACGGG
rnacentral:rRNA from 1 species